UUUUAAGGCCACACUAAGGAAAAAUAUACAAAUAAAAUUACAAAGUAAGUGUGUCUGUUUGGUGGGAAUAUUAUUCUAAGUUAACAUCUGCUGAUCAUGUUACAUUAAAUGCUCGUGAAUCUCACCAACAGAACCUGUUUGGGUUAAACACACAAGGUAGGAAGUUGUUUUCCUGCAGCUGCUUGGGAACCAGACUGUCUCUCCAUGUUUUGGAUCCUUAUCCUUGAUAUAAAACCUGCAUGUUGACUCUGCCUGUUAGAGCUUUUCACUCUGAACUGCUUCAUUAUUGAUUGUCUUACAAGCUCUCUGUAUUGUGCACAAUAUACAGAUAAACCUGAUUGAGUGAUUUCAUCUAACAGAGCUUGGAAAUUAAUUUCUUCCACAACAACUUGGUGCCAACCUGGACACUCGGCUCCAGCCUCAAACCUGGAUUAGGAUUAAAGAGAGACGAGGGCUGCUGGUCGGCUCCACGGCUCCAACGCUGAGAUCAACAAACUCAAUCCACUGAUAUCUGGUGGUUCAUUGAAGCUGAUCGUUCUGAAAGGAAGAGAAAGAGAAUUAGAAGCAGAGGAAGUGAACUGAGGCAAAGAAAUCAGAAACAAAGAGUUUAGUUCAUCUGGAGAAACACGAGGAAAGUUUGGAUGAAAGAGAGAGAACGAAGAGAAAGACAGAAAAAUGAUAAACAAAUGGAAAUGCUUCUAUUACUGAACAUAAAUCUUUUGUCAAUAAAUUACAGGCCUUAA